GCUGGCGGCAGGCUUAACACAUGCAAGUCGAGCGGUAACAGGGGGUGCUUGCACCCCGCUGACGAGCGGCGGACGGGUGAGUAAUGCAUAGGAAACUGCCCAGUAGUGGGGGAUAGCCCGGGGAAACCCGGAUUAAUACCGCGUACGCCCUUCGGGGGAAAGCAGGGGAUCUUCGGACCUUGCGCUAUUGGAUGUGCCUAUGUCGGAUUAGCUAGUUGGUGGGGUAAAGGCCUACCAAGGCGACGAUCCGUAGCUGGUCUGAGAGGAUGAUCAGCCACAUCGGGACUGAGACACGGCCCGAACUCCUACGGGAGGCAGCAGUGGGGAAUAUUGGACAAUGGGCGAAAGCCUGAUCCAGCCAUCCCGCGUGGAGGAUGACUGCCCUACGGGUUGUAAACUCCUUUUAUAUGAGAAGAAACGCCUGGAUUUAUCCGGGCCUGACGGUAUCUUAUGAAUAAGCACCGGCUAACUCCGUGCCAGCAGCCGCGGUAAUACGGAGGGGGCUAGCGUUGUUCGGAAUUACUGGGCGUAAAGCGCACGUAGGCGGAUCAGUCAGUCAGAGGUGAAAUCCCGGAGCUCAACUUCGGAACUGCCUUUGAUACUGCUGGUCUAGAGUCCGGGAGAGGUGCAUGGAAUUCCGAGUGUAGAGGUGAAAUUCGUAGAUAUUCGGAAGAACACCAGUGGCGAAGGCGGCUCACUGGCUCGGUACUGACGCUGAGGUGCGAAAGCGUGGGGAGCAAACAGGAUUAGAUACCCUGGUAGUCCACGCCGUAAACGAUGUGCGCUAGCCGUUGGGGCUCGUAGAGUCUCGGUGGCGCAGUUAACGCGUUAAGCGCACCGCCUGGGGAGUACGGCCGCAAGGUUAAAACUCAAAUGAAUUGACGGGGGCCCGCACAAGCGGUGGAGCAUGUGGUUUAAUU
rnacentral:rRNA from 1 species